rnacentral:rRNA from 1 species
UACGUAGGGGGCGAGCGUUAAUCGGAAUUACUGGGCGUAAAGCGUGCGCAGGCGGUUCGCUAAGACCGAUGUGAAAUCCCCGGGCUUAACCUGGGAACUGCAUUUGUGACUGCACAGCUGGAGUGCGGCAGAGGGGGAUGGAAUUCCGCGUGUAGCAGUGAAAUGCGUAGAUAUGCGGAGGAACACCGAUGGCGAAGGCAAUCCCCUGGGCCUGCACUGACGCUCAUGCACGAAAGCGUGGGGAGCAAACAGG